rnacentral:tRNA from 1 species
GGAUGGAUGGCCGAGCGGUCGAAGGCACUCGCCUGCUAAGCGAGUAUGGGUCAAAAGCCCAUCGAGGGUUCGAAUCCCUCUCCAUCCGCCA